GCUGAGCCUGGCAGGUUGUAAGUGCUGUAUCCGAAUCACCAACGAUCGUGGUGAAUGUAGAUGACUACAUGAACCAAAAGCAACGUUUCAGCUCAGUCUUGGAGCAUCCGUGGGUGACAGUGGCUGAAGUUUAGACCAUGUGGGGGACAGUGUGCCAGCCAGAGGGAAUGCCUGCUGCACGGCCGCAGCUGAACCUAAACGCAAGGAGGGCCGAGCGCAGGCUCAGCGUGGAUCUGGUGAGGGGUGAGUCCUGCACUUCGGGGCCCACAGAGGAUAAAUCAGAACAGGCAGGUGUGUCUGAGGAAGAGGGUGCAGAAGAGAGGGAGGGAGGCUGCCUUGGGUCAGUCUCUCAGACGCACAUGGGAACAAGAAUGGCAGCGACCUUAUCGACGGGUAAAAUGAUAGCUCUGUGUUGGGGACCAGGACAUGCAGGCCUUCCUGGGAGGCUUCUGUUCUGGCUCCUCCCCUUGCCCUGAGAGACUCUCCUUACAGGGCCGUGCAGCUGAGCUCUGCAGCUGUGGAAAAUGAGGAGGCUGCUGCCCCCGCCGGGUGUGCAGAGGGAGCCGCCGUGACUCUCAUCUGACAGCGAGCUGCUUCCUGACCAGAAAUGACUCAGAAGGAUUUGUCGGCAGAGUGCUGCAGCUGCUGUCCCAGGACCAGUUGGGAAGUGCUGGCUCUGGGUGGCGGACCCUCACUGCCCACCGAAGUCAGGCUUUCUCCAGGACUUCUGUCCUCGUCGUCCCUCUCUGAGGAAGCUGCCACCCCCAGAGGGAAAUGACUGGCCUCGCGUUCACCCCUGGGAAAUCCUGCCAAGGCUUUUCUCUGCCCUCUUGUUCUUGUGCUGGUGGCUGAGCAGGGGCAUGAAGGAGGGUGUUUAGUCCAUCAGCAAAUUGUUAUUCAAUCAACAAACAUUUUGUCAGAGCCUCCUUUGUAGGUGCCGAUGGGACAAAGUUACAGGAGGUGUCGUCUUUACUCUCACGAUUUCAGCCUCGUGUGAGAGACAUGCAAGCUGGUAAUUUGUCACUUGAAAUCUUUAUGGGCUGGGAGUGAAUUCAGCCAGGCUCUCUGUUUGCAAGUGACAGAACAAAACAAAGCAAAACAAAAGCCUCCAGCGAGCUUAGGCACAAAGGAAAUGUAAUCGCCACGAUGUAAGUGAAAAGUUAAGUAUAUACCUUCAGGUACAGCUUGAUCCAGGGGCUCAAAACAUUCACCAGGAUUUACUUUCCCUCCAUCUGGGCACCCUGCCUGCUAUGGUUGUGAUUGCUAUGGUAGACAACCACCCACAGAGAUGUCCAUGACCCAAUCCCAGAGAACAUGUGAAUAUGUGGCCUUACAUGGCAAAAGGGACCUUGCAGAUAAAAUUAUGUUACAUAUCUUGAGAUGGAGAGAUUCUUCUGGAUUAUCAUAAUGGUGAUGUAAUCACAAGGUUUCUUAUCAGUGAAAGAGAAGCAUGAGUCAGAGAGAGGAGAUGUGGCCGCAGAGGCAGAGGCAGGAGUGAUGGCAUUGCUGGAAGGGGCCACGAGCCUGGGAGUGCAGGCAGCCUCUAGAAUCUGGAAAAGGCAGAGAACGGAUGCUCCCCUGCAAUUUCCAGAGGGAGCACAGCCUUGCCAACAUCUCGUUCUUAGUCCAGCGAGGGCCACUGUGGCCUUCUGACCGCUAGAACUGUAAGAUAACAAAUGUGUGUCGUUUUAACCCACAUCUCCCUUGGUUCUAGUCUCGGAGGAGUUAGAAUGUUUUCUCCCUGGAAACUGGUGCAAUUACCUCGCCAUCCCUUGGAUGGGACCGGCUUGGUGCCCAUCUCCGAGCCAAUCACCUGGCUGGCAGUGCUCUGAUUGGCUAGGCCUGGGGUACGGGCUCUGCCCUUCGAGGGGGUGGAAGCCACCUGACCACCCUUGACUGCGGGAGUGCUGGCAGGUGGAGGAAAUGCAGAGCCUGGCUCCCGGUGAACGGGAGCGCGGCCGCGUGCGGUUGCUCACACCUGUGAUCUCGACGCUCCAGGAGGCCUGUGUGAGAGCAUUGCUUGAGCCCAAGAGUUCCAGGCUGAGGAUUUCUGGAAAAAAAGGAAAAAUUCUCAAGCAAAAGCUUAAGAUGUGUUCUCGCUGUGACUGGACUGAAUGCCCAAAUGUACCCGGAGCCAAGCGCACCCAGACCCUCCAGCCGGCUCUGCCCACACCUCAGGUGCCCCGAGCCUUGCCAGCCACACAGCCCUUCCUGUUCCUGGAGCCACCUGGUUCCUUCCCACCUCGGGGUUUCUGCACUGGAUGUUCCUCCGCCUGACCCCACCUGCCUGGGGUCUUUGCAGAGCUGGGUCCUCGUCCAGUUUUCAGCUGGAGGUCAGCUGCUCAGAGAAGCCUUCUCUGAACUUCAGGUAGAGAAGCCAAGCUCCGCACGGCAGCACGAAGCUCUUUCUGCCUUUGCUGCAUUUGUUCGCUCUCUUGUUGACAACCUUUGCUUCCCAGGAGGAUGCCAGGCUGGGUGGAGGGAGCCUGUUCCCCACCACCUUCCGGGAACUCAGAGAAGGCCCAGGCGUGAGGUUGGCUGCCCGAAGGAAGGUGAGCACACACUGUGCUGCGUCUCGGAUGGAGCGAGGCCCAGGGGCCUCGCGCCCUGGGAGAAGAAGGGAGGGGACCGACGGGUGUCAUUCGAUGGUUUCUGUUCUAAGUCGCCCUUCGUCUUCAGAGCUGCAUUCAGAGGUUGCUGAGAUGUUUCCCUGGGAAGUGAAAAAAAGAUUCUUUUAAAAGACAGAGCGAGACAGCGCACUCGACUGAAUGUCAGUGGCUGCCUGGGCUCGGGCCAGUGCCAAGGUCGAUUUGCGUGGCCCCUGCCCCCAGCUCCACACCCAAUGUCUCAGUGGAGCGUGGGGAGCAGAGGCCUGGGACCCCCACUCAGAAGCCUCAUGGGUAGGGCUCCUGGAGCUCACCCCUUGUUCCCACCUGCAACCCUCACUGGGUCCUCUUGGAGCCUAGAGGACAUUCGGGAACUAAGUCCUUGUGUUUGGGAUGAGGCUGCCUGGCCCAAUCUCUCAGCUUUUGCCGUAUCACUUUGGGUGAAUUCUCAGGCCAGCAACCCAGACAUUCCUGAGAUAGCCCCCAGUUCUGCUAAACAGCAAGCUGAGCCAGGCAGCCCCUGGUGGUCGGCUCUUCAGCAGGCAUUCCCGCCUUUCCUUUCACACCGUCUGGAUUUUAUUUAGAGGGUGAGUCUCCAUGCCCCAUGGAAUUGCUCAUGAUAGAUCUAAGGGAACCCUAUUUCUUGUUGGUCUAGGGUGGGCAUGAGACCAAGUUCUAGCAAGCAAAAUGUUAGGGGAACUCGGCAGGGGCAGAUUUUCAUAGAGAAAUGAAAAGAAGCGCCUCUUGCUGCCUCUUCCUUCCUGCUUGGCUCAGUGGGUGAGGAUGAGGGUGAGAGUGAGGGUGAGGGUGAGGGUGAGGGUGAGGAUGAGGAUGAGGGUGAGGAUGAGGAUGAGGGUGAGGGUGAGGGUAUGUUGUCUGGAGCCACAGCAGCCACUUUAUGACUUUGAGGGAAAACACGGCAGACCCACUGAGGAUAGUGGAGCAGAAAGCUGGGAAGCUCCUGAUACUGUGGGCAAGAGCCUAGGAGCUUCCUGGCAUUCUGAAACUGCCCCUCCCGAGGCCUUCUGUUAUGUGAGUGUCUUAUUCAGGCUGCUGUUAUUCCAGCAGCCCCCAGCCUUUUUGGCACCAGGGACCAGUUCUGUGGAAGACAAUUUUCCACGGCCUGUCAGUGAGCAGGAUGGUUUCAGGAUGAAACCUCCACCUCAGACCAUCAGGUGUUAGAUUCUCACAAGGAGCAGGCAACCUGGGUCCCUCGGGUGCGCAGUUCACGGUAGGGUUUGAGUGCCUCGGAGAGUCUGACGCCGCCACUGAUCUGACAGGAGGCGGAGCUCAGGUGGGAACCUCGCUUGGCUGCUGCUCAUCUCCUGCUGUGUGGCCCGGCUCCUAAGUAGCCAUGGACUGGCACUGGUCUACAGCUGGGGGGUUGGUGACCCCUGUGUUACACAGUACCAUAGACUGGUGGCUUAUGAACAUCAGAACUUUAUUGCUCAGGCUGGGUGCAGUGGCUCAUGCCUGUAAUCCCAGCACUUGGGGAGGCCAAGGUGGGCAACAUGGUGAAACUUCAUCUCUACAAACAAUACAAAAAAAAUUAGCUAGGUGUGGUGGUGCACACCUGUAGUCCCAGCUACUUGAGGCUGAGGUGGGAGGAUUGCUUGGGCUUGGGAGGUCAAGGCUGCAGUGAGCUGUGGUCAUGCCACUGCACUCCAGCCGGGGCAAUAGAGUGAGACCUUGCCUCAAAAAAAAUGUUUUAUUUUAUCUAGUAGCUGGGAUCACAAGCAUGUACCACCACACCUGGCUAAUUUUUUGGUGUUUUUAUUAGAGAUGGGCUUUCACCACGUUGGCCAGGUUGAUCUCAAACUCUUGGCCUCAGGUGAUCCACCUGCCUUGGCCUCCCAAAGUGCUGGGAUUACAGGUGUGAGCCACCAUGCCCAGCCAAAAAAAUUUUUUUAUUGCUCACAGUUGUGGAGACUGAGAAGUCCAAGUUGCUGGCAGGUUCGACCUCUGGAGGGGACCCACAUCCUAGUUCAUAGAUAGCACCUUCGUGCUGUGUUUUCACACGGCAGGAGUGAGGGAACUCUGGGGUUUCUUUCAGAAGUGUGCUAUAUGAGGCCAUUCUUGUGUCACUAUAAAGAAAUACCUAAGACUGGGUAACAUAAAGAAAAGAGGCUUAAUUGGCUCAUGGUUUGGAGGCUGCACAGGAAGCAUGGCAUUGGCAUCUGUUCCACUUCUGGGGAGACCUCAGGAAGCUUCCAAUCAUGGCAGAAGGCAAAGGGGGAUCCGGCCCGUCACGUGGCCAGUGCGGGAGCGAGCCGGUGGGGUAGGUGCCACACAUAUUGAAACAAUUGGAUUGUGAGAAUUCACUCAGUCACAAGGACAGCACCAAGGGGAUGGUGCUAAGCCAUUCAUGAGGAAUCCACUUCCGUGAUCCAUUCCCCCCAGCAGGCCCCACCUCUAAUAUUGCGAUUAUAUUUAUUCUGAUGUUUUUGAGACAGGGUCUUACUCUGUUGCCCAGGCUGGAGUGCAGUGGUGUGAUCUCAGCUCAUUUCAACCUCUGCCUGUGGUCCUCCCACGUAGCUCGAACUACAAGCAUGUACCAUCCUGCCUGGGUAGUGUGUGUGUGUGUGUGUGUGUGUGUGUGUGUAUUUGGUAGACACCGGGUUUCACUGUGUUGCCCAAGCUGGUCUCAAACUCUUGGACUCAAGUAACCUGCCCACCUUGGCCUCCCAAAGUGUUGGGAUUCCAGGCAUGAACCACUGCGUCCAGCCUAAAGGAUUACAUUUCACUAUGAGAUUUGGGUGGGGAAAAAUAUCCAGACGAGAUCAGGUACUCAUCCCCUUCAUAGGAACACCACCCUUAUGACCCAAUCAUUGCCAAAUUAGGUGGUUUCUGAUACCACCCCACUGGGAGUUAGGAUCUAAUAUGGGAAUCUGGGAGAGAGGCAGGCACUCGGUCCCUAGCAAUGAGUACAUUUCCUCAUGGCUGUCACUCGAAGCCCAAAGCAUCCCAGCUCAUCCAUGGCUUCUGUGUGUGGACAUCUCUUCUCCCUGGACUCUGUCCUGCCUCCUCCCCACGUAACUAGCUAGUUCUUUUGUUUUCAGAUGGAGCCUCACUCUGUCGCCCAGGCCAGAGUGCAAAGGUGCAACGUCAGCUCACUGCAACCUCUUGGAUUUAAGCAAUUCUCUUGCCUCGGCCUCCUGAGUAGCUGGGACUACAGGUACAUGCCAUCAUGCCCAGUUAAUAUUGUAUUUUUAAUAGCGAUAGGGUUUCACCAUGUUGGCUAGGCUGGUCUUGAACUCCUGACCUCAGGUGAUCCACCCACCUCACCCUCUCAAAAUGGUGAGAUUACAGGCAUAAGCCAUCAUGCCCAGCCAACUAGCUAGUUCUUAAAAAGUCAUUUCCGGCUGGGUGCGGUAGCUCAAGCCUGUAAUCCCAGCACUUUGGGAGGCCGAGACGGGUGGAUCAUGAGGUCAACAGAUCGAGACCAUCUUGGUCAAUAUGGUGAAACCCCGUCUCUACUAAAAAUACAAAAAAUUAGCUGGGCAUGGUGGCGCGUGCCUGUAAUCCCAGCUACUCAGGAGGCUGAGGCAGGAGAAUUGCCUGAACCCAGAAGGCGGAGGUUGCGGUGAGCCGAGAUCGCGCCAUUGCACUCCAGCCUGGGUAACAAGAGCAAAACUCCGUCUCAAAAAAAAAAAAAAAAAAAAGUCAUUUCCUCAGGGGAGCCUGCCCUGAUUCCCUCUCCACAAGAACAGGUCACACUUCCCUGCCUCACAGUUUCCUGGCAUCUCAUGCACUGAGAGGCCCUGUAACCCCACGGUUGAUAAAUGUCAGUCUCACUCCUGAAACUGGAAAUACCUCAGGAGCAGCGACUGUACUUGUUUUUGGCUCCUGGCACAGCGCCCAGUGCUUCACACGUCCUCAGGUCCUCAGUAAAUAUUUGUUGAAAGCAUGAAUGAGGAUUCUGGACCUUAAAGAUCUCACAGUGCAAAAUCAAAAUGCGAUACUCCAGUACCAGCUGGAAUGACUGAAAUGAUAAAGCCUGAUGCCCUCCAGCACUGGGAGAGUUCAGAGGGCCUGGAACUCAACACGCAGCUGCAGGGAAUGUAAAUCACCUAACUACACUGGAAAACAGUUUGGGAGUUUCUUCAAUUAAUCAUACACUUCCAAGAUGACCCAGUAAUCCCACUUCUGGGCAUUUACCCAGGAGUAAUGACAGCAUCUGCCUACACAGAGACUUGUACACAAAUGUUCAUUGCUGCUUUGUUGUCAUAGCCAAAAACUGGAAAUAAACCAACAGCCCAUCAACAUGUGAAUGGGUCAGCACAUGGUGGUGUGUCCUUACAAUGAAAUAUUGAUGCGCACGGCAACAUAAAUGAUAUGGUCUGGCUCUGUCCCCACCCAAAUCUCAUCUUGAAUUAUGGCUUCCAUAAUUCCCACAAAUUGUGGGAGGGACCUUAUGGGAGAUGAUUGAAUCAUGGGGGCAGUUUCCCCCAUACUGUUCUGGUGGUGGUAAAUAAGUCUCACGAGAGCUGAUGGUUUUAUAAGGGGUUUCUCUUUUGCUUGGUUCUCAUCCUGUUUCUUGUCUGCCACCAUGUAAGAAGUGCCUUUUGCCUUUCACCAUGAUUAUGAGGUCUCCCUAGCCACGUGUGGGGAACUGUGAGUUCAUUAAACCUCUUUCUCUUUAUAAAUUACCCAGUCUCAAGUACGCCUUUACCAGCAGAGGGAAAACGGACUAAUAGGAUAAAUGACUCUCACAAUACCUACGCUGAAUGAGAGAAGAGCCAGGCAAGAAAAGUCGACAUUUUGGGAAUAGACUGGGGGUGGGGACAGAGAAUUCAGAGUAGAGGUUCGAGUUCCUACAAAGCCCCAUGAGGCCAUGGGAUCUGCCCUGGGACUGUUCUGGUUUUCUUUCCUACCUCUUCUCUGGUGCUCCACCCACUCCAGCCUGCCUUGCCUCUGCUCUGCUUCCUGAAUGCACCAGGGAUGCUUUUACCUCAAGGCCUCUGCACUGACCAUUCCCUCUGCCUGGGACACUCUUCCACCAGACCCAAACAUGGCUCAGAUCUCCACUGCCUUCAAGUCUCUGCCAAGCAUCACCUCUUCCAAGAGGCCUAUCCAAAUCUCUUCUCUAGCUAAAAGCGCCCCCAACUGCCCUUUAGUUUCUGUGUUCGUUCUUUGCAUUACCGUCAGGUGGAUGUAUGCACGCACACCUACGCUCAACACGGACGUGUCUCGGAGUAAUGAUACUAAAUGAAAGAAGCCAGUCAAGGAAAGAGGACCGACUGUGGGAUUCCGCUGACAGGAAGUGAUGCCAUUUACACUUAGUCUCAUUGUCUCCCCCAUUUAAUUAAUUAAUUUAGUUUUUGGAGACAGAGUCUCAGUCUGUCACCCAGGCUGGAGUCCAGUGGUGCGAUCUCGGCUUACUGCAACCUCCACCUCUCAGGUUCAAGCAAUUUUUCUGCCUCAGCUUCCCAAGUAGUUGGGAUUACAGGUGCCCGCCACCACGCCCAGCUAAGUUUUCUACUUUUAGUAGAGACGGGGUUUCACCAUGUUGGCCAGGCUGGUCUUGAAUUCCUGGCCUCAUGCGAUCCACCUGCCUCUAACCUCCCAAAGUGCUGGGAUUACAGGCAUGAGUUGUCACACCUGACCUGUCUGCUCCAUUUAAAACUGUGUUGGCCAAAAUAACAGCCACUGGUCACAUGUGGCUAUCAGGUGCUUGAAAUGUGGCUAUUGGGACUGAGGAACUGAAUUUUAUAUCUUCAUAUCUUUUUUAAAAUUAAUUUAAAUUAAAAAUUAAAAGCCAAAGCAGUUUUGCCAAUGCAGAUGUGGAUGUUAGAGGAAAAUGAUUUUUGAUACUUCGUUCUUGGAAGACUUUUAAGUCUCUGAGGAGCAGCUUCAGUAGAUUAAUGUACCCUUUCAACUGUCAGUUUUAUGAAAUGAAAUGCAGAUCAAAUAUUUCCGAUGAGAAUUCAGUGUCCACACUGAGAUGGGUUCUGGGUUUGGAAUACACAGUGGGUUUCAGAAUGUUAGGAUGAAGCAAAUGCAUGUAAAUAUUGCGGGGAUUAAUUUUUUAUGUGGAGUGUGUGCUGAAAUGAUAAUAUUUGGGAUCAAUUAGAUUACAUUAAAAUUAAUCUCAUCUGCUUCUUUUUUCA